AGAGUUUGAUCCUGGCUCAGAAUCAACGCUGGCGGCGUGCCUAACACAUGCAAGUCGAACGAGAAAGCGGGGGCAACUCCGUGAGUAAAGUGGCGUACGGGUGAGUAACACGUAGCUAACCUACCCUCGAGUGAGGAAUAACCUGAGGAAACUCGGGCUAAUACCCCAUAACAUCCCGAGCAAUCGGGAGCAAAGGCUCGCAAGGGCCGCUUGAGGAGGGGGCUGCGGCCGAUUAGCUAGUUGGUGAGGUAACGGCCCACCAAGGCGAUGAUCGGUAGCCGGCCUGAGAGGGCGCACGGCCACACUGGCACUGAAACACGGGCCAGACUCCUACGGGAGGCAGCAGUGGGGAAUUUUGCACAAUGUCCGAAAGGGUGAUGCAGCAACGCCGCGUGAGGGAUGAAGGUCUUCGGAUCGUAAACCUCUUUCGACCGGGAAAAAUGGGCGGGUGUAGAGCCCGUUCUGAUGGUACCGGUGGAAGAAGCCCCGGCUAACUACGUGCCAGCAGCCGCGGUAAUACGUAGGGGGCGAGCGUUGUUCGGAAUUACUGGGCGUAAAGGGCGUGUAGGCGGUGCGGUAAGUCAGGCGUGAAAUCCCCGGGCUCAACCCGGGUAGGUCGUUUGAGACUGCCGUGCUAGAGUGUGGGAGAGGGAAGUGGAAUUCCCGGUGUAGCGGUGAAAUGCGUAGAUAUCGGGAGGAACACCUGCGGCGAACGCGGCUUCCUGGACCAUAACUGACGCUGAGGCGCGAAAGCUAGGGAGCAAACAGGAUUAGAUACCCUGGUAGUCCUAGCCCUAAACGAUGAGCACUGGGUGUUGCCCUUCACCGGGCAGUGCCGAAGCUACGCAUUAAGUGCUCCGCCUGGGGAGUACGUCGCA
rnacentral:rRNA from 1 species